rnacentral:rRNA from 1 species
CGUAGGUGGUUAAGUCAGUCAGAUGUGAAAGCCCCGGGCUCAACCUGGGAAUUGCACCUGAUACUGCUUGGCUAGAGUACGGUAGAGGGAAGUGGAAUUUCCGGUGUAGCGGUGAAAUGCGUAGAGAUCGGAAGGAACACCAGUGGCGAAGGCGACUUCCUGGACUGAUACUGACACUGAGGUGCGAAAGCGUGGGGAGCAAACA